rnacentral:rRNA from 1 species
AACGAACGCUGGCGGCGCGCCUAACACAUGCAAGUCGAACGAGAAGCUGUAGCAAUACAGUUGUACAGUGGCGAACGGGUGAGGAAUACAUGGGUGACCUACCCUCGAGUGGGGAAUAACCAGCCGAAAGGUUGGCUAAUACCGCGUACGUUUCCCAGUCCGCGGAUUGGGAAGGAAAGCGAUGCCGUGGGUAUCGCGCUCAAGGUUGGGCUCAUGUCCUAUCAGCUUGUUGGGAGGUAACGGCUCACCAAGGCAACGACGGGUAGCUGGUCUGAGAGGACGAUCAGCCACACUGGCACUGCGAC